rnacentral:tRNA from 2 species
AAGCCCCGGAGCCCUUUAUGGGCUCGUCUUCAAAUUUGCAAUUUGACGUGAACUCACCACGAAGCU